rnacentral:misc_RNA from 1 species
AAAAUUUGUUGCUGUUCCGGUGACAUAUUCUGAACCAGGUCGAACAACCCACUACUGCCGCUAACGGGUACGCCGUCAUUGAGCUGCGCAAGCUGUGCAUCACUGGGUGAGAAAACAUGCCCUAACACCACUGUGAUAAACGCACAUAGCAACGAUACCAACAGAAUGGUCAUAAAUUGAUUACGGAAGAAAUUUCCGGUGUCACGGUAUACGGACUGCGCCGUGAUAGACAUGCACUCUCCUUGAGUUUUAUGCAGGUGUUAAUUAGCGGGCAAUUGUACCCUGGUUAAGCCUCGGGUGGCAGCAUCAGGUCUUGUAUGGAAAA